UCUCACUCAAAUCUCUUUGCAACCCCAAACUACACUACAAUGCAUGAGCAUAUGAACUACAUGAGAGAGUUACACUCAAAUCUUCAUGCUUCACAACAACUCAUAACCUACAACUAAUCAAACGAAUGCAUGCAUGCAACUAACGACCUAACAACACAAUGCAUGUCUAACAUAUCAUCACCCCUAGAUGAAUAUGCUCACCACCACAAGACAUGCAAUGCACAAAUACAACUAAUGCAUGCAAGAAAGUAAACACUCAAGUAUGGGGACUACCAAUCUCCUACACACACACACACACAAACAAUCAUAGCCACAAAUGUGGUUAAAUCACAAGAACUGAAACGUUUCUUGCUCCUCCACCUGCACACACACACGGUUAGAACACACAACACAACC
rnacentral:lncRNA from 1 species